UUCCGGUUGAUCCCGCCGGAGGCCACUGCUAUUGGGAUCCGACUAAGCCAUGCGAGUCGAGAGGGUUCGGCCCUCGGCAGACUGCUCAGUAACACGUGGAUAACCUACCCUCAGGCGGAGAAUAACCUCGGGAAACUGAGAAUAAUACUCCAUAGAUCUAGGAUGCUGGAAUGCAUCUAGAUUGAAAGCUCCGGCGCCUAAGGAUGGGUCUGCGGACUAUCAGGUUGUAGUCAGGGUAAAGACCUGACUAGCCUACGACGGAUAUGGGUUGUGAGAGCAAUAGCCCAGAGACGAUAUCUGAGACACGAUAUCGGGCCCUACGGGGCGCAGCAGGCGCGAAAUCUUCACAAUGUGCGAAAGCACGAUGAGGGGAUCCCAAGUGCUGGCACGUAAGUGUCAGCUGUUUCUUUGUCUAAAAAACAAAGAGAGUAAGAGCUGGGUAAGACGGGUGCCAGCCGCCGCGGUAAUACCUGCAGCUCAAGUGGUGGCCGCUAUUAUUGGGCCUAAAACGUCCGUAGCCGGUUUAGUAAAUGCUUGGGUAAAUUGUGUAGCUUAACUAUACGAAUACCGGGUAGACUGCUAAACUUGGGACCGGGAGAGGCUAGAGGUACUCCUAGGGUAGAGGUGAAAUUCUGUAAUCCUAGGGGGACCACCAGUGGCGAAGGCGUCUAGCUAGAACGGGUCUGACGGUGAGGGACGAAGCCCUGGGGCGCGAACCGGAUUAGAUACCCGGGUAGUCCAGGGUGUAAACGCUGCUUGCUUGAUGUUAGUUGGGCUCCGAGCCCAACUAGUGUCGGAGAGAAGUUGUUAAGCAAGCUGCCUGGGAAGUACGGUCGCAAGACUGAAACUUAAGGAAUUGGCGGGGGAGCACAGCAACGGGUGGAGCGUGCGGUUUAAUUGGAUUCAACGCCGGGAAUCACUAGUGCGGCCGCCUGCAGGUCGACCAUAUG
rnacentral:rRNA from 1 species